UUCUUUAGUCUUUACUAACGUGUUACUUUCUUUUAGGUUUAGGCUUCUUUAGGUUUGACUUCGUUGGAAUAUUUCAUCCUAUUUUUAGUUCCCAUCAACAUGAGUUCAAGGUGCAAAACAAGCCAAAUCUUUUCUACUUUUUCCCUAACCUAAUGUUCUAUGGAUACUGGUGUUCUUUUUCUACUUAUUUCCUUAUCAAUAUUUGUUAUUUUUGUAAAGUUAUUAGACUUCUCACUUUCUUCAAACAAUAUAUAUUUAACAAAUUAUGUAAGUCAUUCUUGAUCUAGUCUUUAAUAUUAUUGUGCAUAUGAAGGAAGAUUCAUGUGGAGCGUGUUAUUGAGACUUAGAGCCGACUAAGACAAGAUUUUAAAGGCAAGUUUUUUUUUCAAAUUUUAUUUCAUAUUUAUAUUGUUAAGUUUUUAUUACAUGUUUUUACAUAUUAUAUGUUCAAAUAAAUACUUCUUUGCGAGAACCAUAUUUAUAAGGAGAAAAUAGAGAUUUGUUUGCAAAAUUAGCUAUUGUACGUUUUGAUUUAAAUUUUUUCUCUUAUCUAAUGUUCUAUGGAUACUGCUAUUCUUUUUCUACUUAUUUCCUUAUCAAUAUUUGUUAUUUUUGUAAAGUUAUUAGACUUUUUCUUCAAACAAUGUAUAUUUAACAAAUUUAUGUAAGUAAUUCUUGAUCGAGUCUUUAAUAUUAUUGUGCAGGUGAAGGAAGAUUUAUGUGGAGCGUGUGAUUGAAAGUCAGAGCCGACUAGGACGGGAUUUUAAAGGCAAGUUUUUUUUUUCAAAUUUUUCUCAUUUAUAUUGUUAAGGUUUUAUUACAUGUUUUUACAUAUUAUAUGUUCAAAUAAAUAUUUCAUUGCGAGAACCAUAUUUAUAAGGAAAAAAAUAGAGAUUUGUUUGCAAAAUUAGCUAUUAUACGUUUUGAUUUAAUUUUUGAUAAAUAUCUAUAAUAAUUUUCAAUUAUAUGGAAUGAUAGAGUCUACUAAUAUGAUGCGUGGUUACAAAACUACAAAGACGGGCUUCAAAGUCCAAAACUUAUAGGAAGAAAUGUUUAGGGUUUGAAUUUAACUAAUACUAAAAGAAUUUUCUAAAUAUAAAUCCCACCUGAACAAGCACACUGUAGAGAUAAUUAGUAUAUAUAUCCAAUUCGGACUUCAAAUCAUUCUCUUAGAAAAAUAAAAUAUUCUGACAAAAAAUAAGUUACUAAAUAAUUUGAGUUGAGGCUAUGAGGACUUAUGUGGAAUAAUAUUGUUUACGUUAUUAAGUUUGGUCAGUAGAAUCAAUAUCCAUUAUUUCAAGGAAUUUAAAUUACUUUUUAUAACUCAGUAGAUAAUUUUUACUUUUAUUUUAUAACUCAAUAGAUAAUUUUGAUGUAAUUUUUUAAAAUCUAUUACCCAUCGGACAUAAGUUACACGCGCAACAUGGCUCAAUUUUUUUUCUAUUACAUACAUCUUGGCUUCACAUCUACCUGAGUUUAUUCGUAAUAUUAUCUUGAAUACAAGGUCAUCCCUACUUAAAUAAACAAGUAAUAUCACAAGAAUAGAAACAUCCAAAACCCCAAAAUUAUGCAACUUAAAACAUGUAAUUAAAAUAAGUAGGUCGAAACAUGAAAGGGCAGUUAACUUCGGAUAUAUGUAUAUUAAUUUCUCUAUAUCUAACAUUCACAUUCCACAUGCCGCACAAAGAAUUUUAAAGAAAAACAACAAAAAAGAAAUAGAAACCUACUAAUCUAGUCAUCUUUUUAAAGCAGCCAUCAAAACAAGCUCGAGCUGAUCUACCGUUAUAUUGUAUACGUGUCUUAAUCCAGACCAUUAAUUUCUUCAUCAACUUCUGGUGGCCCCACAUUCUGGCGACUUCAUCAACGGCUGCAACCCCAGUGUCAGUUCCAAUCCAACAUCACUCUCAUCUAACUUAGCCAACGAGGCUUCAACAGUCUCCACCGAGCCGCUGUCAGCGUCGCCGCUCUCUCCUUCCCGUUGUUGGCUCAGACCCGAGUCUCGGCUCGGCGACCCGAUUACUUCCUCCUCCUUAUGAGACCAACUCCACAUGACCCGAGCCGCAUAGUCAACCUCAGGCGACUGAUUCCUCUGCUGCGGCUUAGCCGACACGCGCUUAAACUUAGUUCGCACCUUCACCUUGUGCAGAUCGGGAGUUAAAUCGUUUUCCUUGGACACGUGGCGGAUGUCACAUACUUUGAGCGACGGGCAAACGGUAUUUGCAGCCGAGUCGGGAGAAAGUUUUUCAAUCGACGCGCCGCUUAGAACGGCAUCAACAGCAGCUUGACAAAGUUGCCAGUUACCGGAGGUUAACAAACCAGCGGAACCGUAGAU
rnacentral:lncRNA from 1 species